GGUUCGAUGGUGUAGUUGGUUAUCACGUCAGUCUAACAACGUUAGUCCACUGAAGGUCUCCAGUUCAAGUCUGGGUCGAAUCA
rnacentral:tRNA from 1 species